rnacentral:rRNA from 1 species
AGAACGAACGCUGGCGGCAUGCCUAAUACAUGCAAGUCGAACGAACUCUUCGGAGUUAGUGGCGCACGGGUGCGUAACGCGUGGGAAUCUGCCCCUUGGUUCGGAAUAACAGUUGGAAACGACUGCUAAUACCGGAUGAUGACGAAAGUCCAAAGAUUUAUCGCCAAGGGAUGAGCCCGCGUAGGAUUAGCUAGUUGGUAAGGUAAAGGCUCACCAAGGCAACGAUCCUUAGCUGGUCUGAGAGGAUGAUCAGCCACACUGGGACUGAGACACGGCCCAGACUCCGUACGGGAGCAGCAGUAGGGAAUAGUUGGACAAGU